UGUUGGAGUGAAUUGUCUGGUUAAUUCCGUGAACGAACGAGACCUUAACCUGCUAGAUAGUCACAUGUAACCUCGGUUACGUGGGCAACUUCUUAGAGGGGCUUUGCGUGUCUAACACAAGGAAGUGUGAGGCAAUAUCA
rnacentral:rRNA from 1 species